AAAGGGAGACCUAAUUCGGGUAGGAGACGAAAAAAAAGUAGUCCCUACCAAGAAUCAAUCCCAAAAGGUCGGAACGAGGUAUGUGGCUUUCAAACUAGGUUCUGGGUUCACAAAAGACCUGAAUCAGGAACAAGGGCUAUUAGCUCAGGUGGUUAGAGCGCACCCCUGAUAAGGGUGAGGUCCCUGGUUCGAGUCCAGGAUGGCCCACCUGCACAGGUGGCAAAAACAAGAGAAGCGAGGAAUCAGCACCUUAUCUUAUCUAUAUAUAAAUACAAGUAAGAGAGAAUGCUGGCUCUGAGUAAAGAGUCCAGAGGAACCUUGAAAACUGCAUAGAGCUAGGUGAAAAAGCCAAAAAAGAAGACCGCAAG
rnacentral:tRNA from 1 species